GCAGCGGUAUCGAAGAGGUCAUAACGGGGCUGACUCGAAAUCAGUUUGUAGGAAACUACACGUGGGUUCGAAUCCCACCCGCUGCGCCA
rnacentral:tRNA from 1 species